CUGUGCUGCUGGCCUGGGGUUGUGGUUGAGGCCGGGUCUCCGCUCCUGUGCCCGGGAAGAUGGUGCUAGGUGGUUGCCCGGUUAGUUACUUACUUCUGUGCGGCCAGGCGGCUUUGCUGCUGGGGAAUUUACUUCUGCUGCAUUGUGUGUCUCGGAGCCACUCGCAAAAUGCGACCGCUGAGCCUGAGCUCACAUCCGCUGGCGCCGCCCAGCCGGAGGGCCCCGGGGGUGCUGCGAGCUGGGAAUAUGGCGACCCCCACUCUCCGGUCAUCCUCUGCUCUUACCUACCUGAUGAAUUUAUAGAAUGUGAAGACCCAGUGGAUCAUGUUGGAAAUGCAACUGCAUCCCAGGAACUUGGUUAUGGUUGUCUCAAGGUGAGUUUUUGUUUUGUCGUAAGAGCAAACCCUUCGAUAACGAAAUAGGAAUGUCUGAAUGCUAUUACAUAAAAGUAUAAGAGGUACAAAGUUUUUUGAAGAAUUUCCUCAGAAAGACCGUUACUGGAAAUUUCCAGUAUGGCCAGGGUCAGUGACUGAACAAGAUAUUUGGUUUCCUUAUGAAGGAGCAAUCUCUGUG
rnacentral:lncRNA from 1 species